AUUGAACGCUGGCGGCAGGCCUAACACAUGCAAGUCGAGCGGAUGAAGGGAGCUUGCUCCUGGAUUCAGCGGCGGACGGGUGAGUAAUGCCUAGGAAUCUGCCUGGUAGUGGGGGAUAACGUCCGGAAACGGGCGCUAAUACCGCAUACGUCCUGAGGGAGAAAGUGGGGGAUCUUCGGACCUCACGCUAUCAGAUGAGCCUAGGUCGGAUUAGCUAGUUGGUGGGGUCAAGGCCUACCAAGGCGACGAUCCGUAACUGGUCUGAGAGGAUGAUCAGUCACACUGGAACUGAGACACGGUCCAGACUCCCACGGGAGGCAGCAGUGGGGAAUAUUGGACAAUGGGCGAAAGCCUGAUCCAGCCAUGCCGCGUGUGUGAAGAAGGUCUUCGGAUUGUAAAGCACUUUAAGUUGGGAGGAAGGGCAGUAAGUUAAUACCUUGCUGUUUUGACGUUACCAACAGAAUAAGCACCGGCUAACUUCGUG
rnacentral:rRNA from 1 species